GAAGAUCUGGCCUCAAAAGAGUGUGAAACAGCAGCAGCAGGCAUUGCAUUCCUUUGAGGCUGGAUCUGC